rnacentral:rRNA from 1 species
GAGUUUGAUCCUGGCUCAGGAUGAACGCUGGCGGCGUGCUUAACACAUGCAAGUCGAACGGGAAUGCCACGCUGAUGCGAUUUCGGUCAAAUCAUGUGGCAUUCGAGUGGCGGACGGGUGAGUAACGCGUGGGUAACCUGCCUUACACAGGGGGAUAACACCUGGAAACAGGUGCUAAUACCGCAUAAGCGCACAGGGCCGCAUGGCCCGGUGUGAAAAACUCCGGUGGUGUAAGAUGGACCCGCGUCUGAUUAGCUUGUUGGCGGGGUAGGGGCCCACCAAGGCGACGAUCAGUAGCCGGCCUGAGAGGGUGGACGGCCACAUUGGGACUGAGACACGGCCCAAGCUCCUACGGGAGGCAGCAGUGGGGGAUAUUGGACAAUGGGGGAAACCCUGAUCCAGCGACGCCGCGUGAGUGAAGAAGUAUUUCGGUAUGUAAAGCUCUGUCAGCAGGGAAGAAAGAAAUGACGGUACCUGACCAAGAAGCCC